GGAGAGUGGAAUUCCAUGUGUAGCGGUGAAAUGCGUAGAUAUAUGGAGGAACACCGGUGGCGAAAGCGGCUCUCUGGUCUGUAACUGACGCUGAGGCUCGAAAGCGUGGGGAGCGAACAGGAUUAGAUACCCUGGUAGUCCACGCCGUAAACGAUGAGUGCUAGGUGUUGGGUCCUUUCCGGGACUCAGUGCCGCAGCUAACGCAUUAAGCACUCCGCCUGGGGAGUACGACCGCAAGGUUGAAACUCAAAGGAAUUGACGGGGGCCCGCACAAGCGGUGGAGCAUGUGGUUUAAUUCGAAGCAACGCGAAGAACCUUACCAGGUCUUGACAUCCCGAUGACCGCCCUAGAGAUAGGGUUUCUCUUCGGAGCAUCGGUGACAGGUGGUGCAUGGUUGUCGUCAGCUCGUGUCGUGAGAUGUUGGGUUAAGUCCCGCAACGAGCGCAACCCCUAUUGUUAGUUGCCAUCAUUCAGUUGGGCACUCUAGCGAGACUGCCGGUAAUAAACCGGAGGAAGGUGGGGAUGACGUCAAAUCAUCAUGCCCCUUAUGACCUGGGCUACACACGUGCUACAAUGGCUGGUACAACGAGUCGCAAGUCGGUGACGGCAAGCUAAUCUCUUAAAGCCAGUCUCAGUUCGGAUUGUAGGCUGCAACUCGCCUACAUGAAGUCGGAAUCGCUAGUAAUCGCAGAUCAGCACGCCGCGGUGAAUACGUUCCCGGGCCUUGUACACACCGCCCGUCACACCACGAGAGUUUGUAACACCCGAAGUCGGUGAGGUAACCUUUUAGGAGCCAGCCGCCUAAGGUGGGAUAGAUGAUUGGGGUGAAGUCGUAACAAGGUAGCCGUAUCGGAAGGUGCGGCUGGAUCACCUCCUUUCUAAGGAAAUGGAAACCUGUACGUCAGUCUUCUUUAAUUUUGAGAGGUCUUGUGGGGCCUUAGCUCAGCUGGGAGAGCGCCUGCUUUGCACGCAGGAGGUCAGCGGUUCGAUCCCGCUAGGCUCCAUUAACAACGGAAGUUGUUAAGAUUUUGUCCAUUGAAAAUUGAAUAUCUAUCAAACAUUCCUAAACGUAUGUAAAAGUACGUAUAGAAAUAGUAACAAGAAAAUAAACCGAAAACGCUGUGAAUAUUUAAUGAGUUUUCUAAUUUUUGAAAAAAUUAGGUUAAAACAAGUUACGAAGACGUUAAGGAAAACGUAUGAUUUUAGGAAAUCAUCGCAGUAGUCUAAGGACUACAAGAGGAUUUGUCUAAAUCACUAGUUUUCUAGUCUGAGUACGAUUAUAAGGUUAAGUUAAUAAGGGCGCACGGUGGAUGCCUUGGCACUAGAAGCCGAUGAAGGACGUGACUAACGACGAAAUGCCUUGGGGAGCUGUAAGUAAGCAAUGAU
rnacentral:misc_RNA from 1 species